rnacentral:rRNA from 1 species
UACGAAGGGGGCUAGCGUUGCUCGGAAUCACUGGGCGUAAAGCGCACGUAGGCGGCUUUUUAAGUCAGAGGUGAAAUCCUGGAGCUCAACUCCAGAACUGCCUUUGAUACUGAGAAGCUUGAGUCCGGGAGAGGUGAGUGGAACUGCGAGUGUAGAGGUGAAAUUCGUAGAUAUUCGCAAGAACACCAGUGGCGAAGGCGGCUCACUGGCCCGGUACUGACGCUGAGGCACGAAAGCGUGGGGAGCAAACAGG